ACAUUAUUAAUUACUUUUACGUUAAAUGGUAUAGUUUUUCCUUAGUUGUCUAAAAGACUAUUUACAAACAUUUUAUUUUAAAUGGUAUAAUUAAGUCAAAUUAUAGAGUAGUUUAAUGUGGCUUUUGGUUGGAUAGUUUCCAAGUAAAAUGUUGUACAGUUGUCACUUAACGAUAAAUUAUUUUAUUUUAAGUUUUGUUUGCAACAUGUAAUUUUGUCAAAUACAAAUACUUUUAUUUUCUUUAUACAGUUGUUUUAUGGUACUAUAAUUAAAGUGCAUUAUGCUAUUGAUUAUGGAGGAAGGCAAAAUAGUUUUUUUUAAGUUCAUUUAGAGAUUCUAAGAUCGCUCUUAUUAAUUUAGUAUUCUAAUGUACUUAGAUAUUUCAUUUAAUUUUCACAAAAAAUAUACAAAAAGAAAGCCUAUUGUGUCUUUCAUAUUUUAUUAAAAUGUUAUUAGUAAAGUAGGCAAGUGUAAAUUUAAUAAAAUUAAAAUCGGAUUUUUUGAUGUAUUGAACAUUAAAAUUGAUAUAGUUUGCAUAGAAGUUAGAACAUAAAGUACAGUAAGGAUCUAGCAUAUGAAAGUUGAGGUAUUUUUUUAAUUAGAAUUGAUUGAUAUAUUACAUUAAAGUGAAUGCCAAUAAACGCUACGAUGCGAGCUUGAAAUUUUUUUUUUUUUAAAUUGAACAUAACUACAAAAAAUGAUUUUAUAUUUAAGAGAUCAUCAAUUGCUCAUAGAAAACAAAUCGCUGAAAUGUCUUAUAUUUGAUAAUAAGGUGAACAUGAUGCUUAUAUGUAAAAGGUUUGAAGAGGUUUUGGACUACAAAGUUCAAACAUAAAUGUUUAAAAAAAACAUAAUCAAAACUAUACUUUUGUAUGUAAUUUUAAAAAGUGUAAGGGCUGCUAAACUUAUUUUAAUGUCAUAUACUUACAUUUAUUUUUUCACCUAAUGAU